rnacentral:rRNA from 1 species
UACGUAGGGUGCGAGCGUUGCCCGGAUUUAUUGGGCGUAAAGGGCGCGUAGGCGGCUCUGCACGUCCGUUGUGAAAUCGCCCGGCUCAACUGGGCGGGGUCAGCGGAUACGGCGGAGCUUGAGCAAGCUAGGGGGCAAUGGAAUUCCCGGUGUAGUGGUGGAAUGCGUAGAGUAUCGGGAGGAACACCAGUGGCGAAGGCGGUGCCUGGGCUUGGACUGACGCUGAGUGCGCGAAAGCGUGGGGAGCGAGUCCGG